AAACAUUCAUUUACACAUGUCAUUGCAUGCUCACCUUCAUUUAGGGUAUUAUCGCAGCAAAAUUUUAUUACUAAGCAUGCAUCAAAUUAAUAUAAAUCUCCUAAAUUUACUUUACCUAAAUUAAAACAGUCAUGGCAUAAGCCUAUACGGUAAACAAAACUCAAAACAUUGAGAGUGUAUCAUUCAACUCUCCAUUAAAAUAUAAUGAUAAAA
rnacentral:lncRNA from 1 species